AUGAGCAGUUCAGCAGGCACUCAAGGGAGCGAGCAUUCCAGCAACACGUGUGACAGGGAAGUCGAGAGAGAGCCAGGCCUGUCUGGGACCCGUGAAGCAACUCAUAAACAUCAGAGCAGAAGGGUCAGGCCCUCCCUCAUGAAGCUUAUUGCCCCGUUAAGUGGAGGGGGCUUCAAAACAAGGCUUCAAGCAAGGUUGAGGCAGACAGGCUGCAAAGAAGCUGCUGCUAAUGGCAAUGGGACCAGGAAAGGGGAAUCCAAAGAAGGCAGCACCAUCCUUCAACCUCAGAGGCUUGUGUGGGAGAAACCCCAGUUAGGUGUGAGGGAAAAUCCUGCUGCGAGGGGUGGGUAGGGCUUGACUCAGAUUGCAGCAGGGGAGGAAACUUUAGUGACACCCCUCUGUGCAAAGCAGCGAUUCUAGAUGCUGCCAAAGCAAUAUUAUGCCACCCAGGAGGUGGUUUGAAAUGGCUGGGGAAAGUCGUCUGGGAGACAGCUUCAUGGCACACUGCUUGUUCUGGAGUGGUUGGGAAGAAUGCGGCCAGGUGGUCCUAAGUCCCGGGGACCACAGAGGCCAAAUCCGUACCACCAGCCCUGAGCAGGUACCACAUGCUUCAGCAUCACUCCUCUCCAGCUUCACCCCUACCAGCGAGCCCCAGGGACCAGGAGGCUCCAGUCCUGUCCCACCUGUGUGUGUGUAUAAGCAUGCAGAGGCCUCCACUCAGAACUUCAACUCCCUCUUCCCACCACCAUGAGGUCCAUAAACAUCUCCCUGCACCAGGAAAUUAUGUUGGCUAGGAGAAGGGGAAGGGAUGAGAAAAUCUUGGAAAACUCAGCAAUUUUAUACAAAAGAGACCGAGCUAAAUGUUUGGAAAUGGAGAUAUGUCUAAGGAGCAAUUUAAAGGGUUUUUUUUUUUUUUUGCUUCUUCUUUUCUUUUUUCCCCUGUAUGUCAAUAGUAGGAAUGAUCAGAUCAAGAUGAAAAGAGUACGAGAAAAAUGAAGAAGGAUUCUGGUUUGUCCCAUCUGGGUAGGUACAUGUGACUCAGCUCUGCAAUAAUCAUGUCUGUACACGUUUGCUGGGGCACCUGUGUACUUUCAAUUCUAGUCAUCAGCCCUUUCCUUGACUCUCACUGUGUGCUUUCUUGUGGCCAGGAGUUGAGAAUAAUAAAAUUGUCAAAUCUGUAUUAAUUAUCUAUCGCUCUAUAAUAAAUUAGUCCAAAAUUUAGCUGAAAUUCAUGCUUCCUGGGGAUUAGAAACUUGGAGGCAGUUUAGCAGGGGGUUUCUGGCUCAGGAUCUCUCAUUAAGUUACAGUCAGGAUGCUGGCCUAGACUGUGGUCAUCUGAAGGCUUGACUGGGGCUGGAGGACAUGAUUCUAAGAUCCGCCUGACAAGCUGGUGCUGGCUGUGGGCAGAGGCUCUCAGUUCUUCACCUCAUGGAUCCCUUUCUAGGGCUGCUUGGAUAUCCUCAUGACAUGAUGGUGGUUUCAUCCAGAGUAAGUCACCUGAAAGAACAAUGUCUUUUUAUGACAGCCUUGCCUUAGAAGUCUCACUUUCCCAUGUG
rnacentral:lncRNA from 1 species